AAUGAACGCUGGCGGCAGGCUUAACACAUGCAAGUCGAGCGCCCCGCCAGGGGGGUGGCAGACGGGUCGGUAACGCGUGGGAACGUACUAUUAUCUUCGGGACCGCCCUGGGAAACUGGAAUUAAUACCGAAUAUGCCAUUUGGUGGAAGGAUUGAUCGGAUUAGGAUUGGUUCGCGUUGGAUUAGCUAGUUGGUGGGGUAAUGGCCUACCAAGGCGACGAUCCAUAGCUGGUCUGAGAGGAUGGUCAGCCACACUGGGACUGAGACACGGCCCAGACUCCUACGGGAAGGACCAGUGGGGAAUAUUGGAAAAUGGGGGCAGGCCUGAUCCUGCCAUGCCGCGUGAGUGAUGAAGGCCUUAGAGUUGUAAAGCUCUUUCACCGGAGAAGAUAAUGACGGUACCCGAAGAAGAAGCCCCGGCUAACUUCGUG
rnacentral:rRNA from 1 species